rnacentral:misc_RNA from 1 species
AAAGUCGUAACAAGGUUUCCGUAGGUGAACCUGCGGAAGGAUCAUUACAAAUCCACGUCUCACACGAGACACGUUGAAACGGUGAAAGAAGAGAUAGAGAGGGAGUAGUGUUAUCAACAUCUCUCUCUCUCUCUCUCUUUUUUUCACACACUACACCACUUGUUGUUCAGUUGUAUUUAAACUACUUUACACAACUUAUAACAAUGGAUCUCUAGGCUCUU